UACAGAGGGUGCGAGCGUUAAUCGGAAUUACUGGGCGUAAAGGGCGCGUAGGCGGAUGAUUAAGUUAGAUGUGAAAUAUCUGGGCUCAACCUGGAGACUGCAUUUAAGACUGGUUAUCUAGAGUAGAGUAGAGGGAAGUGGAAUUUCCGGUGUAGCGGUGAAAUGCGUAGAUAUCGGAAAGAACACCAGUGGCGAAGGCGAGUCUCUGGACAACUCCUGACACUCAUGCUCGAAA
rnacentral:rRNA from 1 species